CCAGGGCCCAGGAUUGAGCCUCCAACCAAGGUACGUGCCCUUGACCAGAAUCGAACCCAGGACCCUUCAGUCUGCAGGCCGAUGCUCUACUCACUGAGCCACACCAGCCAGGGGAGUAAGCAUUUGUUGAGCCAAGCGGUGGAUGCAGGGUGGAAGGAAGGAUAAACCAGGCACAGUCCCCAUCCUCAGAGAAUCUUAACAAUAUGUGGCCAUGCCCUUCUCUUGGCUCACAGUGGCUCUGCCCAAAUGUGGAAAAAUAUUUAAGUCAGCUCAAAACUAAUAGGGCUGUUGGCUCCGGAGUCAGGAUAAACACACUUCUGCCCGGGGGGGGGGAAUAGGAUCUGCUGGCUUUGCGGUGGCUGGGACUCAGCAAAGCCAAGUUCUCAACGUUUGAGUACCACCCCCUAGCAGCCUCCAGUGAAUCCUGGGCCUCCCACAGUGAUCACCAAUGUCACAUCAUAAUGACAUCACCUGUGCUUUCCAAGUGGGUCCAUGGGUCGGACCUCAUUGAACGGUCCUGCAUGCAGGCUGAUGGACGUGUGUCCGUCUGCACACAGCCGUUUUCAGGUAUGAGCUGGAUUCUCACAGCUGUUUGGGGACGGCAAAAGGCAAAUCUAGGAGGAGCAAAUAUUUGUAAACGAACAGGAAAUCUUGACACAAAAUCAAGUAAAUAGGAAAAAGGGCCAGCAAGGCAAUUCAGCAUUGACAGAGUCAUUGAGAUGAAAACAAAACACUGGGUCGCCCAGCUGGCGUGGCUCAGUGGUUGAGCAUCAACCCACACGUGAACCAGAAGGCCACGGUUCGAUGCCCAGUCAGGGCACAUGCCCAGGUUGCGAGCUCGAUCCCCAGUAGGGGGCAGCCGAUCCAUGUUUCUCGCAUUUUUUUUUUCUGCUGGGGUCAAGGGCCAGGGUUGAUCUACCAAACCAUGGACUGAGGCCCUGUCUGCACCUGGGCCCUGGGCAUGGCUCCCCUCCUUCAGCAGCUGAGAUAUGGUAGCGGCUCCCUCCGAUGUCUGCCGCCUGCUGGCAGCAAUGUGGUUGUGGUUCCAUCCUCCGGUGAGUACCUCCUUUGGGGACCAGGUGGGAUUACAGGAAAGCAGAUGUCUCAGGUAUGUCUGGAACAAAACAGGGAGAGAUGUCAGCUGGACCCCCGUGCAAAUGGGCCUGGGCCAUCCCCCUGGGAAUUUCCUGGCUGUACCCCAUGGAGGCUCCCUUCACCCAGCAGACCUCCUCAACCCCUCCUAGAGACCCCCGAAUCUUUAUGACAUUCCCAACCCCUCAUUCUGGUGCUAGAAAGCUGGUGUCCCAGAGAGAGAAAACUCUGGUGUCUUACAAGGACACUAAUCCUCUUGGAUCAGGGCCCCACCGCUACAACCUCAUUUAACCUUCUUUACCUCCUUACAGGCCCUGUCUCCAAAUACAGUAACAUUGUGGCUUAGCACUGCAACAUGUUGACCAGGGGGGCUCAAUUCAGUCCCUAGCUGGCUGCCUGGGUGCUUUGUUGGCAGAACAAAGGGGCGGUGACUGCCCCAGGAUGACCUGUGUUCCAAUGUGUGGGCUCUCUGAGAGGGAGCCAAUGGAGGGGGCUUGGGUCACCAUCUGAGAGGACUGUGUUCGGAGGGGACCACAGCCAGGGUCCAGCCGUGAUCAGCCAUGAUCCCAGGAGCUGCAGAAGGAGCCGCGACCACAGUGGAGGGAAGCAUGUCGCCCGUGUCAGCCUUCCAGGAGGGAACAGGGAAUUCAUGGGCCACAGCUGUCAUCCACGGACAGGGGAGACCCGGCCCACAGAGUGGACGUACCGGACAAGCAAGCAGAGCAAUAAGACGGUUCCGGAGCCUCCACACCCCGGGAUUCUGUGUGCUCGACAUCGCAGGCCCACAGGAUGGAAUAAAGGAUGCCUGGCACAGCGCAGAGAGAAGAUGCCUUAGUGAAGAGGAAGGAACAGGGAAGCAGAAGAGGAGGGCGGCAAGGCGACGUGCAUCCGCACGAAGACGCAGGGCGCUGGCGGAGGGCACUGCACAGGUCAGUGAAUGUCGAAGGCGUUGGCGCUGGGAGGAAAGGUCGCGUCCCUAUAGGAUUCGUAUGUGGAAGCCCUAACCCCCGAUAGGGCGAUUGGAGGUAAUUAGCGGGGGGUUCUCUUGGUGAGAUGUGUGUGUGUGUGUUGUAUGCACACAUACAAAUAUACGUAUACAUAA